rnacentral:rRNA from 1 species
GACAGAGGGUGCGAACGUUGCUCGGAAUUACUGGGCGUAAAGCGCGUGUAGGCGGACCGGUAAGUCGGACGUGAAAUCCCUGGGCUCAACCCAGGAACUGCAUCCGAAACUAUCAGUCUGGAGUGGUGGAGAGGAAAGCAGAAUUCCUGGUGUAGAGGUGAAAUUCGUAGAUAUCAGGAGGAACACCGGUGGCGAAGGCGGCUUUCUGGACACUAACUGACGCUGAGACGCGAAAGCGUGGGGAGCAAACAGG